AUACGUAGGGGGCGAGCGUUGUCCGGAAUGAUUGGGCGUAAAGGGCGCGUAGGCGGCCCGGUAAGUCUGGAGUGAAAGUCCUGUUUUUAAGAUGGGAAUUGCUUUGGAUACUGUCGGGCUUGAGUGCAGGAGAGGUAAGUGGAAUUCCCAGUGUAGCGGUGAAAUGCGUAGAGAUUGGGAGGAACACCAGUGGCGAAGGCGGGUAACUGGACUGCAACUGACGCUGAGGCGCGAAAGGGUGGGGAGCAAACAGGAUUAGAUACCCUGGUAGUCCACACUGUAAACGAUGAAUGCUAGGUGUAAGAGGUAUCGACCCCUUUUGUGCCGGAGUCAACACAAUAAGCAUUCCGCCUGGGGAGUACGGCCGCAAGGUUGAAACUCAAAGGAAUUGACGGGG
rnacentral:rRNA from 1 species